rnacentral:lncRNA from 10 species
CACAGGUUAGAGCCCUAACUCCCACUAUGAAGGUAUUAGAAGGCAGGGCCUCCAGGAGGUGAUCAGGUUCGGAUGAGGUCAUGAGUGCAUAGCCCCCAUGACGGGGUUAGUACUCCUGGAAGAGACGCCACGCAGCUCUUGCUCCCCCGGGUAAGGACGCCGCGGGGGCCCGUCUACAAGCCAGGAGGCUGCAUGGCAACCAGGGACCAGCACCUUUGAUCUGGGAUGUCCGGCCCCUAGAACUCUGAGAAAAUAAAUUUCUGUUAAGUUUUUUCCCAGCACCAGUGAGGCAUGGUGGGAGGAGCCUACUCGCUCACAGCCCCAGCUACUCAGGAGAGGCUGAGGUAGGAGAAUUGUCUGAGGUCUGGAGUUUAAGACCAGUCUGGGCAACUUAGCGAGACCUCAUUUUUUUUUUAUUUGAGACGGAGUGUCACUCUGUCGCCCAGGCUGGAGUGCGGUGGCGUGAUCUUGGCUCACUGCAACCUCCCCCACCCUGAGGUC